GCCAGGUGUGGUGGUGCACACCUGUAGUCCCAGCUACUCAGGAGGCUGAGACAGGAGAAUCGCUUGAACCUGGGAGGCAGAGGUUGCAGUGAGUCAAGAUGGCGCCACUGCACUCCAGCCUGGGCAACAGAGCGAGACUCUGUCUCAA
rnacentral:SRP_RNA from 1 species